rnacentral:sRNA from 2 species
GGCUGCGGUUGUGGCAGAAGCUUGGAAAUCCGCUCAUCUUGAGCGUAGUAUGGGACGGAGUGCAAAUCGAAAUCAAUAGCCAAUGCAUCACGGAUAGCCUUGGCUUUUUCCUCUAGUGAACCGGCACUUAUGUUGUCAUACAUCCCCGGUUUAUUAAAAUCAACCCGUGCUAGGAACAGCUGCGCCAGCUAGUGACCGAGUCAGGAACAAGCUCAGCGAAGUUUAGUGAUAUUAGAAGCAAUACCUACAAUUAUUCCCCAAGACCAAAUAUCACACGAUUGAUUCCAGGGCUUCCCAAAGUGAAUUUCAGGGCUACGAUAUGUCAACGAGGUAACUUCUCUCUGUGAUGGCUUGCUGACUGUAAAAACCCAAGUCAGAAAAAAGAGGAUCAAACAUGCAAAGAAACAAGUCAACAUGGAUAAGUAUUCAACGGAGC